UCAGGCCCUAACACAUGCAAGUCGAACGGCAGCACGGGAGCUUGCUCCUGGUGGCGAGUGGCGAACGGGUGAGUAAUAUAUCGGAACGUAUCCAAUAAUGGGGGAUAACUAGUCGAAAGAUUAGCUAAUACCGCAUACGCCCUGAGGGGGAAAGCUGGGGAUCUUCGGACCUAGCGUUAAUGGAGCGGCCGAUAUCUGAUUAGCUAGUAGGUGAGGUAAAGGCUCACCUAGGCAUCGAUCAGUAGCUGGUCUGAGAGGACGACCAGCCACACUGGAACUGAGACACGGUCCAGACCCCUACGGGAGGCAGCAGUGGGGAAUUUUGGACAAUGGGCGCAAGCCUGAUCCAGCCAUUCCGCGUGAGUGAAGAAGGCCUUCGGGUUGUAAAGCUCUUUCGCAAGGGAAGAAAACUUAACCUCUAACAUAGGUUGAGG
rnacentral:rRNA from 1 species